AACCGUAGUAAUUCUAGGGCUAAUACGUGCGAAGCGCCCGAAGCCGCGAGGCGACGGGCGUUCUCGCCGGAUGUAGGAACCGACCCGGGGACCGCCGGGGCAACCCGGCGCCCCCGAGACGGGGCGAACCACGGUGAAAUGACGGAUCGUCGGCCCCGCGCCGGCGACUCGCCGAAUGAGUUUCUGACCUAUCAACUCGAGACGGCGGGGUAGAGGCCCGCCGCGGUAACGACGGGUAACGGGGAAUCAGGGUUCGAUUCCGGAGAGGGGAGCCCGAGAAACGGCUACCACUUCCAAGGAAGGCAGCAGGCGCGCAACUUACCCUAAUCUCGAUUCGAGGAGGUAGUGACAAAGAAAUACCGAUGCGGGACCCUACGGGUGCCGCGUUCGGAAUGAGUACGAUUCGAACCACCUAACGAGGAACGA
rnacentral:rRNA from 1 species